rfam:Alpha proteobacterium AAP38 AAP38_Contigs_9, whole genome shotgun sequence.
CGGCGGGUCACACCCCCCCAACGGGGUGCUACUAUUCUGGAAGGAAUAGCCAUA